rnacentral:rRNA from 1 species
GACGCUAAUACCGCAUACGUCCUACGGGAGAAAGCAGGGGACCUUCGGGCCUUGCGCUAUCAGAUGAGCCUAGGUCGGAUUAGCUAGUUGGUGAGGUAAUGGCUCACCAAGGCGACGAUCCGUAACUGGUCUGAGAGGAUGAUCAGUCACACUGGAACUGAGACACGGUCCAGACUCCUACGGGAGGCAGCAGUGGGGAAUAUUGGACAAUGGGCGAAAGCCUGAUCCAGCCAUGCCGCGUGUGUGAAGAAGGUCUUCGGAUUGUAAAGCACUUUAAGUUGGGAGGAAGGGCAUUAACCUAAUACGUUAGUGUUUUGACGUUACCGACAGAAUAAGCACCGGCUAACUCUGUGCCAGCAGCCGCGGUAAUACAGAGGGUGCAAGCGUUAAUCGGAAUUACUGGGCGUAAAGCGCGCGUAGGUGGUUUGUUAAGUUGGAUGUGAAAUCCCCGGGCUCAACCUGGGAACUGCAUUCAAAACUGACUGACUAGAGUAUGGUAGAGGG